AGCCCGGCCGCCAAAGGAGCCCGUAAAGUUCGGAUCCGCAAGGACCGGGCCAGCGGGACGUCCGCGUGGCAGGGUGCACUUUCUCCGCGGUCGAGUGCUACGACCGGUUUCGCGGCGGUCAGAAGCCCGGCGGAAAGGUAGCGCCGCCCCUCGGGGUGUCGUGUUAUAGGCCGCCGCGGUGGACUCGCCGCGAGACCGAGGACGCUUGCCGCGCCGAGCGGUCCCGGGCCGUCUUGGGAGGUUCGACCUCGGCUGCACUGCUCCGCAGAGCACCGUAACCGCCGCCCUGGCACGGGUCCGGAGACUGCCGGCGCCUCGGGUCAGUAGCG
rnacentral:rRNA from 1 species